rnacentral:rRNA from 1 species
AACGAACGCUGGCGGCGCGCCUAAUACAUGCAAGUCGAGCGAGAAGGUGUAGCAAUACACUUGUAAAGCGGCGAACGGGUGAGGAAUACAUGGGUAAUCUACCAUCGAGUGGGGAAUAACCAACCGAAAGGUUGGCUAAUACCGCGUACGCCUCCGAGUCUUCGGGUUCGGAGGGAAAGCUGCACUGUGAGUGUAGCGCUCUUUGAUGAGCUCAUGUCCUAUCAGCUUGUUGGUAGGGUAACGGCCUACCAAGGCUUUGACGGGUAGCUGGUCUGAGAGGACGAUCAGCCACACUGGCACUGCGACACGGGCCAGACUCCUACGGGAGGCAGCAGUAAGGAAUAUUGCGCAAUGGGCGAAAGCCUGACGCAGCGACGCCGCGUGGGGGAUGAAGGUCUUCGGAUUGUAAACCCCUUUCGGGAGGGAAGAUGGAACGAGCAAUCGUUCGGACGGUACUUCCAGAAGCAGCCACGGCCAACUUCGUGCCAGCAGCCGC